UACGAAGGGGGCUAGCGUUGUUCGGAAUUACUGGGCGUAAAGGGCGCGUAGGCGGUACUUCAAGUCAGGCGUGAAAGCCCCGGGCUCAACCUGGGAACCGCGCUUGAGACUGGAGAACUAGAGUUCGGGAGAGGAUGGUGGAAUUCCCAGUGUAGAGGUGAAAUUCGUAGAUAUUGGGAAGAACACCGCUGGCGAAGGCAGCCAUCUGGACCGACACUGACGCUGAGGCGCGAAAGCGUGGGGAGCAAACAGG
rnacentral:rRNA from 1 species